UUCUAGCCCCGAUUGCAGCGGCAUCCUUUUUUGAGGACGAAGGACGAAAAAAAGAUACAGCGGAAAGCGGGUGUAAUC
rfam:Chryseobacterium solincola strain DSM 22468 contig03, whole genome shotgun sequence.